GUGGAGUUAAUUCGAUGCAACGCGAAAACCUUACCUACCCUUGACAUGUCCGGAAUCCCGAAGAGAUUGGAGUGCUCGCAAGAGAGCCGGAACACAGGUGCUGCAUGGCUGUCGUCAGCUCGUGUCGUGAGAUGUUGGGUUAAGUCCCGCAACGAGCGCAACCCUUGUCAUUAGUUGCCAUCAUUUGGUUGGGCACUCUAAUGAGACUGCCGGUGACAAACCGGAGGAAGGUGGGGAUGACGUCAAGUCCUCAUGGCCCUUAUGGGUAGGGCUUCACACGUCAUACAAUGGUCGGUACAGAGGGUUGCCAACCCGCGAGGGGGAGCUAAUCCCACAAAGCCGAUCGUAGUCCGGAUCGCAGUCUGCAACUCGACUGCGUGAAGUCGGAAUCGCUAGUAAUCGUGGAUCAGCAUGUCACGGUGAAUACGUUCCCGGGUCCUU
rnacentral:rRNA from 1 species